rnacentral:rRNA from 1 species
GGUUAAGCGACUAAGCGUACACGGUGGAUGCCCUGGCAGUCAGAGGCGAUGAAGGACGUGCUAAUCUGCGAUAAGCGUCGGUAAGGUGAUAUGAACCGUUAUAACCGGCGAUUUCCGAAUGGGGAAACCCAGUGUGUUUCGACACACUAUCAUUAACUGAAUCCAUAGGUUAAUGAGGCGAACCGGGGGAACUGAAACAUCUAAGUACCCCGAGGAAAAGAAAUCAACCGAGAUUCCCCCAGUAGCGGCGAGCGAACGGGGAGCAGCCCAGAGCCUGAAUCAGUGUGUGUGUUAGUGGAAGCGUCUGGAAAGGCGCGCGAUACAGGGUGACAGCCCCGUACACAAAAAUGCACAUAUUGUGAGCUCGAUGAGUAGGGCGGGACACGUGGUAUCCUGUCUGAAUAUGGGGGGACCAUCCUCCAAGGCUAAAUACUCCUGACUGACCGAUAGUGAACCAGUACCGUGAGGGAAAGGCGAAAAGAACCCCGGCGAGGGGAGUGAAAAAGAACCUGAAACCGUGUACGUACAAGCAGUGGGAGCCUCUUUUAUGGGGUGACUGCGUACCUUUUGUAUAAUGGGUCAGCGACUUAUAUUCUGUAGCAAGGUUAACCGAAUAGGGGAGCCGAAGGGAAACCGAGUCUUAACUGGGCGUUAAGUUGCAGGGUAUAGACCCGAAACCCGGUGAUCUAGCCAUGGGCAGGUUGAAGGUUGGGUAACACUAACUGGAGGACCGAACCGACUAAUGUUGAAAAAUUAGCGGAUGACUUGUGGCUGGGGGUGAAAGGCCAAUCAAACCGGGAGAUAGCUGGUUCUCCCCGAAAGCUAUUUAGGUAGCGCCUCGUGAAUUCAUCUCCGGGGGUAGAGCACUGUUUCGGCAAGGGGGUCAUCCCGACUUACCAACCCGAUGCAAACUGCGAAUACCGGAGAAUGUUAUCACGGGAGACACACGGCGGGUGCUAACGUCCGUCGUGAAGAGGGAAACAACCCAGACCGCCAGCUAAGGUCCCAAAGUCAUGGUUAAGUGGGAAACGAUGUGGGAAGGCCCAGACAGCCAGGAUGUUGGCUUAGAAGCAGCCAUCAUUUAAAGAAAGCGUAAUAGCUCACUGGUCGAGUCGGCCUGCGCGGAAGAUGUAACGGGGCUAAACCAUGCACCGAAGCUGCGGCAGCGACACUGUGUGUUGUUGGGUAGGGGAGCGUUCUGUAAGCCUGUGAAGGUGUACUGUGAGGUAUGCUGGAGGUAUCAGAAGUGCGAAUGCUGACAUAAGUAACGAUAAAGCGGGUGAAAAGCCCGCUCGCCGGAAGACCAAGGGUUCCUGUCCAACGUUAAUCGGGGCAGGGUGAGUCGACCCCUAAGGCGAGGCCGAAAGGCGUAGUCGAUGGGAAACAGGUUAAUAUUCCUGUACUUGGUGUUACUGCGAAGGGGGGACGGAGAAGGCUAUGUUGGCCGGGCGACGGUUGUCCCGGUUUAAGCGUGUAGGCUGGUUUUCCAGGCAAAUCCGGAAAAUCAAGGCUGAGGCGUGAUGACGAGGCACUACGGUGCUGAAGCAACAAAUGCCCUGCUUCCAGGAAAAGCCUCUAAGCAUCAGGUAACAUCAAAUCGUACCCCAAACCGACACAGGUGGUCAGGUAGAGAAUACCAAGGCGCUUGAGAGAACUCGGGUGAAGGAACUAGGCAAAAUGGUGCCGUAACUUCGGGAGAAGGCACGCUGAUAUGUAGGUGAAGCGACUUGCUCGUGGAGCUGAAAUCAGUCGAAGAUACCAGCUGGCUGCAACUGUUUAUUAAAAACACAGCACUGUGCAAACACGAAAGUGGACGUAUACGGUGUGACGCCUGCCCGGUGCCGGAAGGUUAAUUGAUGGGGUUAGCGCAAGCGAAGCUCUUGAUCGAAGCCCCGGUAAACGGCGGCCGUAACUAUAACGGUCCUAAGGUAGCGAAAUUCCUUGUCGGGUAAGUUCCGACCUGCACGAAUGGCGUAAUGAUGGCCAGGCUGUCUCCACCCGAGACUCAGUGAAAUUGAACUCGCUGUGAAGAUGCAGUGUACCCGCGGCAAGACGGAAAGACCCCGUGAACCUUUACUAUAGCUUGACACUGAACAUUGAGCCUUGAUGUGUAGGAUAGGUGGGAGGCUUUGAAGUGUGGACGCCAGUCUGCAUGGAGCCGACCUUGAAAUACCACCCUUUAAUGUUUGAUGUUCUAACGUGGACCCGUGAUCCGGGUUGCGGACAGUGUCUGGUGGGUAGUUUGACUGGGGCGGUCUCCUCCUAAAGAGUAACGGAGGAGCACGAAGGUUGGCUAAUCCUGGUCGGACAUCAGGAGGUUAGUGCAAUGGCAUAAGCCAGCUUGACUGCGAGCGUGACGGCGCGAGCAGGUGCGAAAGCAGGUCAUAGUGAUCCGGUGGUUCUGAAUGGAAGGGCCAUCGCUCAACGGAUAAAAGGUACUCCGGGGAUAACAGGCUGAUACCGCCCAAGAGUUCAUAUCGACGGCGGUGUUUGGCACCUCGAUGUCGGCUCAUCACAUCCUGGGGCUGAAGUAGGUCCCAAGGGUAUGGCUGUUCGCCAUUUAAAGUGGUACGCGAGCUGGGUUUAGAACGUCGUGAGACAGUUCGGUCCCUAUCUGCCGUGGGCGCUGGAGAACUGAGGGGGGCUGCUCCUAGUACGAGAGGACCGGAGUGGACGCAUCACUGGUGUUCGGGUUGUCAUGCCAAUGGCACUGCCCGGUAGCUAAAUGCGGAAGAGAUAAGUGCUGAAAGCAUCUAAGCACGAAACUUGCCCCGAGAUGAGUUCUCCCUGACUCCUUGAGAGUCCUGAAGGAACGUUGAAGACGACGACGUUGAUAGGCCGGGUGUGUAAGCGCAGCGAUGCGUUGAGCUAACCGGUACUAAUGAACCGUGAGGCUUAACCUU